rnacentral:rRNA from 1 species
AGAGUUUGAUCCUGGCUCAGGGUAAACGCUGGCGGCGUGCCUAAAACAUGCAAGUCGAACGCGUACCUUCGGGUACGAGUGGCAGACGGCUGAGUAACGCGUGGGUGACAUACCCAUUGGUGGGGAAUAACUGCCCGAAAGGGUGGCUAAUUCCGCAUACGUCCUGACUUUCGUUGGUCAGGGGAAAGCAGCAAUGCGCCGAUGGACUGGCCCGCGUUCGAUUAGCUGGUUGGUGGGGUAACGGCCUACCAAGGCGACGAUCGAUAGCUGGUCUCAGAGGAUGAUCAGCCAGACUGGGACUGAGACACGGCCCAGACUCCUACGGGAGGCAGCAGUUAGGAAUUUUGGGCAAUGGGCGCAAGCCUGACCCAGCAACGCCGCGUGGGUGACGAAGGCCUUCGGGUUGUAAAGCCCUUUUCUGGGGGAAGAUGAUGACGGUACCCCAGGAAGAAGCACCGGCUAACUACGUGCCAGCAGCCGCGGUAAUACGUAGGGUGCGAGCGUUGCCCGGAUUUAUUGGGCGUAAAGGGCGCGUAGGCGGCUCGGCACGUCCGUUGUGAAAUCGCCCGGCUCAACUGGGCGGGGUCAGCGGAUACGGUCGAGCUGGAGCAAGCUAGGGGGCAAUGGAAUUCCCGGUGUAGUGGUGGAAUGCGUAGAUAUCGGGAGGAACACCAGUGGCGAAGGCGGUUGCCUGGGGCUUUGCUGACGCUGAGGCGCGAAAGCGUGGGGAGCGAUCCGGAUUAGAUACCCUCGUAGUCC